rnacentral:tRNA from 1 species
GGGAUCGUAGCUCAGCUUGGUUAGAGCGCCUGCCUGUCACGCAGGAGGUCGCGAGUUCGAGUCUCGUCGGUCCCG